rnacentral:rRNA from 1 species
AUUGAACGCUGGCGGCAUGCUUUACACAUGCAAGUCGAACGGCAGCGCGGGCUUCGGCCUGGCGGCGAGUGGCGAACGGGUGAGUAAUGCAUCGGAACGUGCCCAGUAGUGGGGGAUAGCCCGGCGAAAGCCGGAUUAAUACCGCAUACGACCUGAGGGUGAAAGCGGGGGACCGAAAGGCCUCGCGCUAUUGGAGCGGCCGAUGUCGGAUUAGCUAGUUGGUGGGGUAAAGGCUUACCAAGGCGACGAUCCGUAGCUGGUCUGAGAGGACGACCAGCCACACUGGGACUGAGCCACGGCCCAGACUCCUACGGGAGGCAGCAGUGGGGAAUUUUGGACAAUGGGGGCAACCCUGAUCCAGCCAUGCCGCGUGCGGGAAGAAGGCCUUCGGGUUGUAAACCGCUUUUGUUCGGGAAGAAAUACUCUGGGCUAAUACCCCGGGGGGAUGACGGUACCGGAAGAAUAAGCACCGGCUAACUACGUG